rnacentral:rRNA from 1 species
AGGAUCAUUUGCACAUGUGUAGCCAACUGCAUGCUAAUGAUAUUGUGGGCAACUGUAAGCAUGUAUUGCAAUGGACUUGCACUUGCCCUGGGCAGCAUGAUUUGUUUUUCAAGCAUGUGUGCUGUAGCGUGUGAUGUGUUGUGUAAACUGUUUGCAUUUCUCUAGUUGCUGCAACACUUAUGUUUUGCAAGGAAUGUCUUAGCUCAAUAAAUGAUGAAGAAUGCAGCAACAUGCAAUAUGCAUUGCGAAUUGCAGAAUUCCGUGAGCUAACAGAUGUUUGAAUGUUACUUGUACCUUUGGGAUAUUCUUGAAGGUUUGCUUGGUUUAAUGCAAAGUAGCUUUCAUAUACAGUUAAUGCUGAUUAGCAUUGUUGUGAACAAUAAAGGUCAAUGUUUUGCAUUGAACCUGGAUGUCAUACAGUUGUUUACAACCUAAACAUGGUUUCGUGGGGCAGACCUGUUUCGUCAUUUGAUGGUUGAUAUUUGUAAAUGUGCACAACUGGGACAAGCUGAAGACUUGCAUAUGCUAAGCGUGAAGUGAAGCACAUAAACCUGCUGAAUUUAAGCAUAUAAGUAAGUGGGGAAAAUUAA